ensembl:snRNA RNU6-217P RNA, U6 small nuclear 217, pseudogene
GUGCUGACUUCAGCAGCACAUACACUAAAAUUGAAAUGAUAUGGAGAUUAGCAUAGCCUCUGCGCAAGGAUGACACACAAAUUCGUGAAGCAUUGCAGAUUUCU